rnacentral:sRNA from 1 species
GGCUGACUAGUUGCUCAUGAGUACUCAUGACAUGGUCUCAUAGUAUGAGAUAAAAGCCUCUUCAAAGUCACUAAUGGCCCAUUAAUCAUGCUGUUUGCAAGAGGUUGCGGCAGAUAAGUACAUUGUAGAAAUGUUUUUGUAGUGGCAUGGAAAAGGCAUUGCAUUCUUUUCUUCCCCUUUUGAUUAAAAGAAUAUUUGAAAGCAAUUGGAGUAUUGGACAUUGCUGGUGAGCCAGAAGGACACCUUUACCAAUUACCACCACCCAAAAUGAGCUUCUUUUUUUUGUAAGUAGCCUUUAUUCCUUCUUCCCCUCUUGAUGAAUGCUUCCCUUCUGUUCUUUUAGACCUCCUCCUGCUGCUGCAGCAGCAGCAAUGGCGUGAAACUUCGCGGCAACGGCACUGCACGGCCACCGAAUCUGAUCACUGAACAGUGCCAGUGAGCUGCAUAGUAGCUUGGUGAUCUUGCUUGUUCACCUUUUAUCAUCUCAACGAAUCUGAGCAGAAGUGCUUUCUGAGUUACUGUCAUGCAUCCUAUCCUCAGGUUAAAUAAAAGGGAGAUCGCAUGAUGAUUCUUGUUUGUGCCGGUAGAAAGUUGUUCGUUUAAUUUCCAAGAUUUGUAGGUGGUGAAGUGUGAACCAAGGCCACCGCAAUUUCGGUCCUAGCCGUUGGCAUGCAUGUAACUAUAUGUAACAAACUAUCAAUGUGCUUUUGCUCAUAUU